UACGUAGGGACCGAGCGUUGUCCGGAAUCAUUGGGCGUAAAGAGCGUGUAGGCGGCUAUUUAAGUCCUGCGUGAAAUCCUGCGGCUCAACCGCAGACGGUCGUGGGAAACUGGAUGGCUAGAGUGCGGGAGAGGAGAGUGGAAUUCCCGGUGUAGCGGUGAAAUGCGCAGAUAUCGGGAAGAACACCCGUGGCGAAGGCGGCUCUCUGGAACGCAGCUGACGCUGAGACGCGAAAGCGUGGGGAGCAAACAGG
rnacentral:rRNA from 1 species